CAGACAAGUGAACUGAUUAGAAUGCAUAAGAGCCAAUCAAGACGUCCAGUGACAGAUGCAGAGCGGCGUGGGGAGCAGUGCGUCCUCUGGGCUUUAGCUUGAACUCGACAGCCUGGAAAGGGAAGGCUUUGUGUUUACUCGUGGUGUUACCGCUCUCACAAGCAAUUAAAAAAAGACAAAAUAGGAAGCGUUCUUGAACAACUCUUAUCUCACGUUGUAGCCUUCAAACACCAGGAACAGAAAGGAAAAAGCCACAAUGCUUAACAUACUUUGCGUUUAGUUACCUUGCGUUCUGCAUUUGAAGAAAUGGUUCUAAUAGAUGUGCAUGCAGAGGAGCAUCUGGCUGUCUGUUUGAGGUAAAUUGUUAUAAUGGCUAAGCUACCGUAAGCUAUUUUAUUGAAUUUCUAUUUAUUAAAAGGCUUCGAGUGAACUCGAGUCCCCUUUGGGAAACAGCUGUGUGGCGAGUGAGUACAAAGCAUUUAUUGUGAAAGGGAAGAACGGAGCACUUCCUUCGUCGAGGUUGAAAGGAGAGAUGGAGUUUGUGGUCUUCGUUCAGACUACGAGCCAAGACCACAAAGCGGUUGUUGUGCACCGUAUUGAUCGUUUUCAAUAUGUCCAACGUGAUUGGUUUAUGCCACUGUUUAUUUUGCUGCAUGAUAUUUUGUCUGUGUUAAAGUGCUCAUUAUAAAAAAAAAACUCACAUAUAUAAAAAGGCAAAUCAAUUGCUAAAUUGCCCAGUUGCUAAAUGCCCUCAAAGUUUGCAGCCAUGUUGUGGUUCCCAAAUCUGUGUGAGUGUGUAAUGUUCACCAUUCAUCACCCAACACAUUGAUACUAAUAUUUACUAUUAUCUAGAUCUAUUUAACUAAUGAAAACACAUUUUUACACAACGUGUCAGACCUUGUUUUCACUGUAAUUUCACCUUGAGCUCUAAUGGUGUGAGAUGUAUGAGUACAGCCGAUCCGUGUUGUGAGGCUACAUUAUAUUUCUGUCUGAGUGCAGAGAGUACAUCCGUAUGCAGCUGGAUGCCUCUGUCAAGCCUAACGAGCAUGCACAAAAUAAGCAGAUUACCAGGCCUCAGUCUCUUCGGAUGACAUGGAAAUCAGCAGAGGGGGAAGAAUUUAUGUGCAUAGCUUUCAGGAGACUAUGGACCUUCUCACAGCCGACAUGGAAUUGAAAGUGGUCGUCGCGUCAAGGCAUCUGAUCACUGCGUGUUCGCUCGUAGGAAUGGAUAUUCCAACAGCGGACUCAAGUUUGUCAGAAUUGCGACAUGAUCCAAACCUUUUGGGAUCGACAAGUGUUCAAGCUUGACUGAGGAAUUUGGGGCUCCUGCCACAGCCAGAGGACGAGGGGCUUUGUGCAUUUCGGAAGAAGGAAGUGGACUUUCACCGGCUCGGGGAGAAUUUUAACAAGAAAAGGACUUGCUGAAUGUUUCAUACACUUAAUUCUGCAGCCGUCACACCAUUCUGGACUGGAAGGCAAUCUUGCCAGACCAGUUCAGAGGGAGCAGAGAGAGCAGCUCUGUCCAAAUCAACGAUGUGGUUGUCGUUUAAUACAUUGUUAGUAGUACUUUUGAUAGUUUGUGUAAAAGAUCUUCUUUUAGUUAGUUUGUCCACAAGCGCAACACGACCGCACAUUGAGGAAACGGUAGAUUAAAUUUUCGUAAGAGCCUAUACACUGAAAAUUGUUGCUAAAUUAAAAUAAUCAGAAAAAGUCAGAAAAUCUUUAAA